rnacentral:lncRNA from 10 species
CCGGAAUGCACCUGUGUCCUCUGAACCUGCUCAGGCUGUUUCCCUUGUGCGCUGGGCUGUCCCUGCAGUCACCCACCUGUGGCUCGGUGCACUGAUGAUAGCCAGCUCACAUGGCAGCUCUGCUCACACAGUCACUUGACCGUUGAGAACUUCCAGAACCAUUGACUCUGCUGAUCCCACAGAACAAGUGGCUCAACAGCUUGCACUGUGGCCUGGACCUGAUGCGGAGCCUUCCCUUGCUCUGCGUCCCACUGGAAACAGGUACUUUCUGGCUCUGAUACUAGGUGGGUUGGAACUCGUUCCAGUUGUGGCAUACGCUAUCUCUGAAAUCUAGAGGCCCACCAAAGCCGGUGCCUCCUUCUUAAAGGAAGAAGAUUCAAGGUGCAACAACUUGCCAUUUACAUAGAAGACAUGUCCUGGCAUGCCCUGAGUCACUAGAUCCCCCAGGUCUUCACUCCUGGGUAGGUCCCUGAGUCUUCCUGGGGGUUGGCUCCCAGUGUCCCGUGCACAGGUAUUUCCUAGGGCAGAUAGGACACCCCCGUGUUCUGCUCACCAGGCCCAGUUAGGAUGCAGCAAUGCAGCAGCCCCCAGCCUUCAAGGCCCUGUGGACUACACCCUCGGUAGUCCGAGAGCAGCGCGGGGCUGGGAGCCUGUGCUGCCGUUCCGGCCACGCCGGUGAAGCGCUUCCGGUCCCCGUGCUGGUGGGACUGAGGAGAGCGCCGUGCUGCCGUUCCGGCCACGCCGUGAAGCGCUUCCGGUCUCCGUGCUGGUGGGACUGAGAAGAACGCCGUGCUGCCGUUCCGGCCACGCCGGUGAAGUGCUUCCGGUCCCCGUGCUGGUGGGACUGAGAAGAACGCCGUGCUGCCGUUCUGGCCACGCCGUGAAGCGCUUCCGGUCUCCGUGCUGGUGGGACUGAGAAGAACGCCGUGCUGCCGUUCCGGCCACACCAGAGAAGUGCUUCCGGUCUCCGUGCUGGUGGGACUGAGGAGAACGCCGUGCUGCCGUUCCGGCCACGCCGUGAAGCGCUUCCGGUCCCCGUGCUGGUGGGACUGAGAAGAACGCCGUGCUGCCGUUCCGGCCACGCCGGUGAAGUGCUUCCGGUCCCCGUGCUGGUGGGACUGAGGAGAACGCCGUGCUGCCGUUCUGGCCACGCCGUGAAGCGCUUCCGGUCUCCGUGCUGGUGGGACUGAGAAGAACGCCGUGCUGCCGUUCCGGCCACACCAGAGAAGUGCUUCCGGUCUCCGUGCUGGUGGGACUGAGGAGAACGCCGUGCUGCCGUUCCGGCCACGCCGUGAAGCGCUUCCGGUCUCCGUGCUGGUGGGACUGAGAAGAACGCCGUGCUGCCGUUCCGGCCACGCCGGUGAAGCGCUUCCGGUCUCCCUGCUGGUGGGACUGAGGAGAGCGCCGUGCUGCCGUUCCGGCCACGCCGUGAAGCGCUUCCGGUCUCCGUGCUGGUGGGACUGAGAAGAACGCCGUGCUGCCGUUCCGGCCACGCCGGUGAAGUGCUUCCGGUCCCCGUGCUGGUGGGACUGAGAAGAACGCCGUGCUGCCGUUCUGGCCACGCCGUGAAGCGCUUCCGGUCUCCGUGCUGGUGGGACUGAGAAGAACGCCGUGCUGCCGUUCCGGCCACACCAGAGAAGUGCUUCCGGUCUCCGUGCUGGUGGGACUGAGGAGAACGCCGUGCUGCCGUUCCGGCCACGCCGUGAAGCGCUUCCGGUCUCCGUGCUGGUGGGACUGAGAAGAACGCCGUGCUGCCGUUCCGGCCACGCCGGUGAAGCGCUUCCGGUCUCCCUGCUGGUGGGACUGAGGAGAGCGCCGUGCUGCCGUUCCGGCCACGCCGUGAAGCGCUUCCGGUCCCCGUGCUGGUGGGACUGAGAAGAACGCCGUGCUGCCGUUCCGGCCACGCCGGUGAAGCGCUUCCGGUCUCCCUGCUGGUGGGACUGAGGAGAACGCCGUGCUGCCGUUCCGGCCACACCAGAGAAGUGCUUCUGGUCCCCGUGCUGGUGGGGAUUGAGGAGAACACGGGUACAGCUCCACAGCUACCUUUCCCGGGCCAGAGGCUGGGCGGAUCUGCCCCAGGGAAGACCCCACAUCUGCUGCGGCGGCUGCAGUCCGGCUCCUUGAGGCUGGUUUCCUGUCCCCUCCUUCCCACUACGUCCCCUUCCCACCAAAGCAGUGACAUCAGCUCCAUCUAGUUUGAAAACAGAGGCUGGUUUGAGGGCUGGAGCCAAUUAGUUAUCACAUUAAAAUGUGUGCUAUCCCUGGGGAACUUCUUGCAAGGUUUCACUUCUUUUCUUUUUUCAAAGAAUCGCACUCUUGUUGGCGGGGACCAGCAGAAGACGGAGACGUUUUUCCAUAACCGGCUGCUGCUGUGGGAGCCGUGGGCUGGGAAUGCAGCCGAGUCUCCUCUGGGGCAUGUGGGUCUCCGAGGCUGGAGUUCUCAGACGGUGUGUGUGCAUGUGUAUGUGCUGUGGAAUCUGUGUGGAGUGUGUAUGUGUGUGAUGUGCUUCUGUGUGAUGUAUGUGUGUGUGGUGUGUGUGUAUGUAUGUGUGAGGUAUGUGUGUUGCGUGUGAUAUGUAUAUGUGUGAUGUAUGUUUGUAUGUGAUGUAUGUGUGUGGUGUGUAUGCAUGUGUGGUGUGUGUAUGUGUGUGUGAUGUGUAUGUGUGUAUGGUGUACGUGUGUGUGUAGUAUAUGUGUGUUUGUGAUAUGUAUUUGUGUGAUGUUUGUGUAUGAUGUGUGUGAUAUGUAUGUGAUAUGUAUGUCUGUGAUGUGUUUGUGUGUGAUGUAUGUAUGGUGUGUAUAUGUGUGAUGUAUGUGUGGUAUGUGAUGUAUGUGUGUGAUGUGUGGUGUGUAUGUGUGUGAUAUGUGUGUGGUGUGUGUACUAUGUGCGUAUGUGUGUGCUAUGUGUAUGUGUGGUGUGUCUAAUUCAUAGUAUGUGUAUGUGUGUGUGGUGUGUGUGAUAUGUGUGUGAUGUGUUUGCAUGUAAUGUGUGGGGUAUGUGAUAUACAUGUAUGUGUGUGGCAUGUGUGAUAUGUGCUUGUGCAUGUGUGCAGUGUGUGGUGUGUGUGUAUGUGAAUGUGUGUGGCGUGUAUGUGUGUGGUAAACAGGUGUAUGUGUGUGAUGUAUGUACACAUGAUAUGUGUAUGUGUGUAUGUGUAUUCAUAUGAUGUGUGUGGUGUGUGUGAAUGUGUGUGAUAUGUGUGUGAUGUGUAUGUGUAUAUGUGUGGUGCGUGUGCAUGUGAUAUGUGUAUAUGUGUGAUGUGUGUGGUGUGCAUAUGUGUGAUAUGUGUAAAUGUGUGAUGUGUAUUUGGUGUGUGCAUGUGGUGUGUGAAUGUGUGUGAUGCGUGGUGUGGUGUGUGAAUGUGUGCGAUGUGUAUGUGGUGUGUGUGAUAUGUGUAUGUGUGGGGUGGUGUGUGUGUGAUGUGUGUGUGGUGUGUGUGAUGUGUGUGUGACGUCUGUGUGGUGUGUGUGUGAUGUGUGUGGUGGUGUGUGUGUGGUGUGUGUGAUAUGUGUAUGUGUGUGGUGUGGUGUGUGUGAUAUGUGUAUAUGUGUGACGUGUGUGUGGUGUGGUGCAUGUGAUAUGUGUAUGUGAUGUGUGUGGUGUGUGUGUG